rnacentral:lncRNA from 1 species
CUGAAUAGGACUUAAAGUGCUUGAGGCGUUCAUUCCCUUGGAGUCUCCAGCCUUCCUUCCCCUCCCAGCUCCUGCUGGAUCUCUGCUCAGCAGCGAUGGAGGCAUCUUAAGGCCGUGCAGGUUCGGCAGAAUUCCUGUUGGUAGUGGAGGGGCAGAUGUGGCUGCAACUUGGCUCAAUGCCUGCCUGAGGCACAGGAGAGCCAGGCUGUGGGCAAGUGACUCUGCCGUCACUGGAGAGAGCCUGAUCUUAGGGGAAUAGAAAGCUGCGUGGGAAAGCCUCUGUGAUUGUAUCAGUAUUUGGUGAUUCCUGUUUACAUGCAGUGCUUUUCCAUGAAUUUCCAGUCACAUGGGAGGUUCGUGGGAUUGUUUGCUCCUGCCUCUGGGUUACUUGGACAUCCUCCUCCAGCCCCCAGGUUCUGAAGUUCUGUAAAAACUUUGAAGCCUGUUUCUACUAGCACUGGAAACUGAAGUUCAUCUGUGAAACAGAACCUUUGCAGAGAAGGAACUACAGCAGUUUUGGAGUACAGGAGACCACCUUCAUCUUUGCAAGUAGCAUGCUCAGCUCUGGCUCGCAGAUCUUUGCAUUCUGCGCUACUCAGAACAGCAUAAACGCUUUCAGUCUUCCCAAGGCUCUGAAAUUAUUCAGUCCAUAGAGACUUAUCACAUUGCCAAGCUCAUAUAAUCUCCUUACCGUGGUCAGUUUCACACAAGUAACAUGAUGACUUAUCCUUAUGCUGUCCUGGCCAAUAUUAAUGUAUUCUUUCCAAAUAAAACAGCUUCUAAUUGACUAGGUUGUGUGUGAGCUAUUGUCCACAUGGGUACUACUGCAAUUGCAAGUAUAUAAUGGC